AUUGAACGCUGGCGGCAUGCCUUACACAUGCAAGUCGAACGGCAGCACGGGGCAACCUGGUGGCGAGUGGCGAACGGGUGAGUAAUGCAUCGGAACGUACCUUUCAGUGGGGGAUAACGUAGCGAAAGUUACGCUAAUACCGCAUAUUCUGUGAGCAGGAAAGCAGGGGAUCGCAAGACCUUGCGCUGAUUGAGCGGCCGAUGUCAGAUUAGCUAGUUGGUGAGGUAAAGGCUCACCAAGGCGACGAUCUGUAGCGGGUCUGAGAGGAUGAUCCGCCACACUGGAACUGAGACACGGUCCAGACUCCUACGGGAGGCAGCAGUGGGGAAUUUUGGACAAUGGGGGCAACCCUGAUCCAGCCAUGCCGCGUGUGUGAGGAAGGCCUUCGGGUUGUAAAGCUCUUUCGGCCGGGAAGAAAUCGCACGGGCUAAUACCCUGUGUGGAUGACGGUACCGGAAUAAGAAGCACCGGCUAACUACGUGCCAGCCGCCGCCGUAAGAC
rnacentral:rRNA from 1 species